CUGCCACUGAGGAGUCCUAUACUAGGACGAAACGGCCGUCCAGUAU
rfam:Schistosoma curassoni strain Dakar, Senegal genome assembly, scaffold: SCTD_scaffold0000607